GUGCUUUUCGACACCCUAAGGCGGUGUCAGAAUAAGGGCUGGGCAAGACCGGUGCCAGCCGCCGCGGUAAUACCGGCAGCCCGAGUGAUGGCCGAUCUUAUUGGGCCUAAAGCGUCCGUAGCUGGCCGCGCAAGUCCAUCGGGAAAUCCGCCCGCUCAACGGGCGGACGCCCGGUGGAAACUGCGUGGCUUGGGACCGGAAGGCGCGACGGGUACGUCCGGGGUAGGAGUGAAAUCCCGUAAUCCUGGACGGACCGCCGAUGGCGAAAGCACGUCGCGAGGACGGAUCCGACAGUGAGGGACGAAAGCCAGGGUCUCGAACCGGAUUAGAUACCCGGGUAGUCCUGGCCGUAAACGAUGCCUGCUAGGUGUGGCUCCCGCUACGAGCGGGUGCUGUGCCGUAGGGAAGCCGCUAAGCAGGCCGCCUGGGAAGUACGUCCGCAAGGAUGAAACUUAAAGGAAUUGGGGGGGGAAGCACA
rnacentral:rRNA from 1 species